AGUUCUGUGGUGUAUAAGCAAAUGAAAUUGCAAAUUUCAGAGAGCAGAUAAUUUUCUGUCGGGGCUU
rnacentral:tRNA from 1 species